rnacentral:pre_miRNA from 7 species
GACAGCCAGUGAAAAUCGAUUUUCACUGGCGGUUUUAUUACGUCGACCGCCAGUGAAAAUCAAUUUUCACUGGCGGUC